rnacentral:tRNA from 1 species
AGUAAUGUCAGCUAAUGAAGCUCCUGGGCCCAUACCCCUGUAAUGUAGGUUAGACUCCUUCCGUUACUA